AUCCAUAUAGUUUAUUAAAAACAUAUCAUUUUCAUUGAUAAAAUGGACAAAGUCCUAUAGAUA
rnacentral:tRNA from 1 species